UCGGGAAUAUUGCGCAAUGGAGGAAACUCUGACGCAGUGACGCCGCGUGCAGGAAGAAGGUUUUCGGAUUGUAAACUGCUUUAGACAGGGAAGAUAAUGACAGUACCUGUAGAAUAAGCUCCGGCUAACUACGUGCCAGCAGCCGCGGUAAUACGUAGGGAGCAAGCGUUAUCCGGAUUUAUUGGGUGUAAAGGGUGCGUAGACGGGAAGGCAAGUUAGUUGUGAAAUCCCUCGGCUUAACUGAGGAACUGCAACUAAAACUAUCUUUCUUGAGUGCUGGAGAGGAAAGUGGAAUUCCUAGUG
rnacentral:rRNA from 1 species